CAGUAGCCACGGGAAUACGGAGGGUGCAAGCGUUAUCCGGAUUUAUUGGGUUUAAAGGGUCCGUAGGCGGAUCUGUAAGUCAGUGGUGAAAUCUCACAGCUUAACUGUGAAACUGCCAUUGAUACUGCAGGUCUUGAGUAAAUUUGAAGUGGCUGGAAUAAGUAGUGUAGCGGUGAAAUGCAUAGAUAUUACUUAGAACACCAAUUGCGAAGGCAGGUCACUAAGAUUUAACUGACGCUGAUGGACGAAAGCGUGGGGAGCGAACAGGAUUAGAGACCCCUGUAGUCCCUGUCUCUUAUAC
rnacentral:rRNA from 1 species